rnacentral:rRNA from 1 species
AUGCAGUCGAGCGAGCUUUCGGGCUUAGCGGCGGACGGGUGAGUAACGCGUGGGAACGUGCCCUUUGGUACGGAAUAGUCCUGGGAAACUGGGUUUAAUACCGUAUAUUCUCUACGGAGGAAAGAUUUAUCGCCAAAGGAUCGGCCCGCGUUGGAUUAGGUAGUUGGUGGGGUAAUGGCCUACCAAGCCGACGAUCCAUAGCUGGUUUGAGAGGAUGAUCAGCCACACUGGGACUGAGACACGACCCAGACUACUACGGGAGGCAGCAGUGGGGAAUCUUAGACAAUGGGGGCAACCCUGAUCUAGCCAUGCCGCGUGAUCGAUGAAGGCCUUAGGGUUGUAAAGAUCUUUCGCUGGGGAAGAUAAUGACGGUACCCAGUAAAGAAGCCCCGGCUAACUCCGUGCCAGCAGCCGCGGUAAUACGGAGGGGGCUAGCGUUGUUCGGAAUUACUGGGCGUAAAGCGCGCGUAGGCGGAUUGGAAAGUUGGGGGUGAAAUCCCGGGGCUCAACCCCGGAACUGCCUC